AACCCACAAAACCGCACUUUAAAUACGAUCAGUCCACGAUCAGGACCUCCUCACCACACCAUCAUAUCUAAUCUAAUCCCUCUCUCUCUGAUCUAGCCGGAUAUUUCUCUUUUUUUCUUUUGUAUUUUGCAGCUUCUCUCCCUGCUCUCUCUUUUUUUCCCUUUUCUUUCUUUUUUUUUUUUUUCCUGAAUCUGGUUCGCUCAGAUCGCUCGCCGACGGCACUGUUGGAUUUUAUCAUUGACGAGUCAGGGACACCCGUCACGUGUCACCGACACAUGUACCGCUUUGCAUGGAGGAUAGACUCUACCGUGUUUCUCUCGUCGGAGAAAGAGAGAACGGAGAAGAAGAGAGGGUUUCUCUUUUCUUUUUCGGUUUUUCUCUUUUUUUCGCUCAUUUUCUCUUCAUUUUUCCCUUGUUCUUUGCAUUUGGGUUGGUGGGUUUCGCUUUUCUGGGGUGUUUGACCCCUACAAAUUCGUCAAGUUUUCGAUUUUUUUGGCUAAGGCAAAAGAGCGGUACUGGAUCUUGAUACGGUAACUUUCCUAAAAUGGUGGGUUUACAGUGUCCUUGGAUCUGAAUAGAUGGUUUGGUACUUCCUCAUUUCAUGUCUGUUUCCUUUUUUGGCAAGGCAGCGUUUUUCUGUCUUCUUUUUUUCUUCCGAUCGGAAUUUGUCAUGGUCAGGGACAGAAAUUGACAGAAGAGAGUGAGCACACAGAGGGGAUUGUAUAUAUGCUUAUACCUUUGCUUUUGCGUGCUCACUUCUCUUCUUGUCAGCUUCCAUCCCCGAAAAUUUGGCACUCCCUCCCGCCCUUCCUCCCUCCCUCCCUCCCUCCCUCUCUCUCUCUCUCUCCCCUCUCCCUCUCUCUCGGAUUUUUUUCCUUCUUGAAUUUUCGGUUUUCUGUUGCUUCAAGUUAUGUUUGGAAUAGUAAUUGUUAUACACACAUUCAGCAACUAGCAGCAGCAGCUUACUUCCCAAGAGAGAGAGAGAGAGAGAGAGCGUGACUUUUUACGACGACUGCAAGAAGGUAAGCCUGAUAAAUGUGCGGAGUUAGCGGCAAACUUUGCUUGCUAUCUCACGCUCUCUCUAGCUUUGCUUAGCCUUUUAGUAUGGUCCUCACUAAAAACCUGUCUCUUCUUCUCUUCUCAAGUUCUCUUUUUGCAAUUUAUGCGCAUGCGAUCUUGUGUUGCAAAAACGGUUCUGAUUGGAGCUUGUUUCACCUGGAUCUGACCAGAUUUGUCUGUAUGCGUUUGCUUCUGCUUGUCAAGGUUAUGGUUAUAUUUUAUGGGACGAUCUUUGGUUCUGAUUAAUCUUGUUAUGUUAGGGUUGCCUGCUCUACUUUUAUAUGGACGAUCUUCCUCUUAUUGUGCUCUUGUGACCCAUAAGAAAAAAGACAAAAGAAAGAACGUUGGGAGAUCUUCUAGUAUGAUGAUGCUGAGAGUGUAUUGCUACUGUGUUUAUCUUCUCCUUCAAGUUGCUUACAGAUAGUUGCAGUUGAUGAUCAUGGAGGUUAAAGCUUCUUAGUUCCUCUGGCAAUUCCUCGAACUACUCUAAACACUCUUGAAUUGCCAAGUAUGCUUUCGAUAAUGAACAGUCAUGAAGCCAAUGGUUUGAAGUGAGAGUUCCUGGGAAGUGGAUGACAAGUUUCAGAUGGAUCGUACCCAAUUGAUUUCUCUAAGUUGGUUAUCUUCUUUUCCAGCAAUAGAUCAGUCAAUUGCUGUCUGGGAGAUAGAUCCUUAUAUUUUUUCUCCUACCAUGCGGUUUCCUAGUACUCCUUCGAGUUCUUUUCGGACGGCUUGAGGAUGGAUUGCGGUCUUUUGUUUGGCUAUCUCGCUGGGUUGGUCGCUCAUCGUCUCUGACGGAGGUGCUUGACUUGGCGGUCUUCUUUUCCUUCUUUCCUACCUUGUUGUUCGUUGGUUUAAUUGAGUUUUGGAGUCUUUUUGACCCUGCGUGGUCUUCUCCUUAGCCUGUUGUUUAGGCUUCUCCUUGCUUUAGCUUGCUCCUGCGGUUCCUUUUCAUCCAGCACCCUUUCACUCGCCUUGACUUGUUGUCAACGACUUGUUGUCGUGUUGAGUGCAAGUUUUGUGGUGCCGGAUCUUGUGUAAAUGUUGGCUCAAAGCUCUAUAGAUUAUUAUUUCUGA